UCAACAAGUCUGACGAAACGCCUGUUAC
rnacentral:sRNA from 1 species